ensembl:lncRNA
GGGCAGUAGGGUUGGGGAUACUGACUCUGAAGCCCUGCAGUUUCUCUUGCAGGUUUAGUCUCUCAGGCCUUUGCACCAUACUCUGCCGUUCUGAUUUGCAUCUGUCCCCCAAAACAACUACUCGCUGUUAUUUGUUUUUAUUGUUGUUUUUAUGAGAGAAAUGUGCAUACUGAGUAAUUUAAUGGAGCCUGACUGAGGUCACCUGCUCACCAUGUUCAGUUCCUUCUGCACCUGCGUUCUGUCCAGGUGUCCUUGCUUCCACUGUCUGUUCACUUCCUUCUUACCCCUCAGUCUGACCAGCAGCUCCUUGCUCAGCUGUGCUGCUUUCCUGCCUCCUCUGUUUGAUUCCUUAUGCUGGGGAUGGAGAGCUCUUGUGCUCUCAGAAAAGUAUCCAUAAAGCGCUGCCAGUUCUCUUGUCCCUAAGGACAGAUUCCCAGGGUCUCUCAUGCACUAAUUCUUUAAGCAACAUGAAGUUGUCUCUCCUGAAUUACUGACUCCACUCUUUGCCCGGUCCAUCUUCCUUGGGAACAUAAACUCAGCCAGGGCAUGGUUGUUGCAGCCUGGGCUGCCUCUGAUCUUAACCUCUUUAAUAUUCUCCUCAAAUAAUCCUAUAUUUUCCAACAGCUAAAUAGUAUAUGAAUUUGGGGCCAAGUCUCUUACUAUAUGUAUUAGCCAGUCUUGCUUAUUUCAGACUAGGAAGAUUAAUUACCUGUAUUGCACAGAAUGUUUUUAAGAUGUUGUCUGAUAAUAAAGUUAGCAUGGAAUAGCAUGAUUCCCUUACUUUCCCUCAAUGAAACAAGCCAUGGGGAGGAGCUGAGGAGCAGUGCUAGUGGUGAGCUGGAGAAGUCACACUCCAGGUGGUCAGUCAGUCAUGUGUAUGAUGUCUUCCACCAUAUAAGAUAUCUUCUGUGGGUUUCUUUGUCAGGAUUUCACUUUUUUGGAAUAUUGGGUAGUUGCUGAAAUAUUACUUGCUCUUUUGAAUGGUUUAUAACUUUACUUGCAGCCAAAUGAAUAAUUAUUGCAUCUGUCAUACAAAUUUCCAGCAAUAUCUAUCCAUUCAUUAAGGUACAGGUUAGGAUGUUACCUGUACAUUAAGGAUGUACAGGUACAUAAAAGCCUGCAGGCUCUCUUCAUCCUUUCUGUGGUUCUUCUCUGUCUAAAUCCCAGCUUCAAUAUGUAACAUCUUGGAUGACAUCCAUCUCCUUUUUGAUGUGGGCUUUUUUUUUUUCCCCCCAUCUUUAUUUUUUAAUGUUCUUACACUUCCUUAGUUGAUAUCAUUGUGUUACAUGAUUUUCAAAAUAAACUUCUUGCAUUGGUUCUAUCUGUCAAGAAGAACCCAUCUGAAUGAAAAAAUGCUUUAAAUGCCAUAGUAAGUUAAUCUGUUAGUCUGCAUAAAUUGGCGUUCACUUAAGUGACAAUAAAUGUUUCACUUGAGUGUAGGUGCUCUGAUGAGUCAUCGUGUAUGUAGGCAUUGUGAUGGCAGUGUUGAUGCCUCGCUAUGACAGUCUCAAUGUAGAUGUAAUUAUGCUAAAACUAUUCAAUAAGUAAAAUCAUUGUAUUAAUCUGUAUGUUUUCCUUUCAGGUUCCCACAGAAGCAUUUAACUCUGUUCUUUCUCAUGUUCAGCUUUUUCUUACACCACAUAUUUGAAGGGAGGGAGGAGUGUAGAUAUCAGUUGGAAUCAUUCAGAACUUCUGAUUCAUACUCAGCAGUUGCUUUUUACCUUCACGUGUUGCUUUUUCAUAGAAAAAUGCCAGUAAUUAAGGUGAAGUAACCAUUGCUUCUCCAUCAAACUCAUACUUUUCCUCGUUUAUCAGUGAUAGCAGAUUGGUUGCCAUGCAUACUGUAGUUAUUUUAUUGAAGUCAUGCAUCAAAUAAUCCAGUAAUUGCUUAUUAAAAAAGGACACCACCACCACCCAUAAAUAAAUAAAUAAAUCAUGGUCCCCAUAUUAUUUAUGUGGUUUUGUUGCUUUAUAUCAUAUGGGCCAUGCUUACUUUUAGCAAAUUAGCAUUCAUUAGGAGCAUUAGUACAGUCUCAACUCAAGCUGUGCUAGGGGAGGUAUUUAAGGGACUUGGAAACGUAGCACAAAGGGAUAUGGAUCAGUGAUGGGACACAGUAACUCAGGUUGAUGGCUGACUUGUUGAUCUUUAAGGUCUUACCCAGAUGGCUAUCAUAGAAUAGAUCAUGGAAUGGUCUGGGUUGAAAAGAACCACAAUGCUCAUCUAGUUUGAACCCUGUGCUAUGUGCAGGGUCGCCAACCACCAGACCAGGCUGCCCAGAGCCAUAUCCAGCCUGGCCCUGAAUGCCUCCAGGGAUGGGGCAUCCACAGCCUCUCUGGACAACCUGUUCCAAUGUGUCACCAUCCAUGGUUAUAUUCUAUAUUCCAUGGUUAUACUCUAUGUUUUAUUGAUAUUAAUGCGCGUAUUCGCUUUUAUACCAUCAUAUGUGUUGCAAGCAAGAAAUAUGUUUCAUUUUUUCUUCCAAAAAGAGUAUUUACUUUCCUAGUUUGAGUAAUACAAGUACGUCACAGCUGUCUUUUCAGAAACAAACACAUUGCACAAACAGAAAGAAAAUGCUUCUCUGCCAGCUUCAGGCCUAAAGGCUUGAUAGUUGUCUAGCUGAAGAGACAAAAUGUUAAAUGUUUUUCUACCGGUGAAAGAUAUCUGAUAUUCUAAAACUGCUUUAAAUUCUUCCUGUCUGAUGGGAAAUUUGUAGUGUCAAAAGAAUAAAACAUGCAAACAAAAACAAGGGAGACUUUUGUACAGGGAUGACUUAGAAUGAUUUCUUUGCCCCCAAUAUGUGCUUAAUUUUAUAAAAUGGACUUUGAAUAAUUUUGAUCAAAUUUGUAUUGUGGCUAAGAAUAACCAAAAAUACUUUUCCUGCAGCCUUCCCAGAUCGGAUAAAUCAAUAAAUCCUAUUCUUAAAUUUAUAAAUAAUUAUAUAUGCUUUUAAUUGGGACUUAAAACAUACCUUAGCCCAAGUUUUCUAUUGAAAACUUUGCAGAUAGAUAGAGGUAAUUCUAAUCUAUUUCCAUGUUGGUACCUUACGUUUCAAACUUAAAUACUUAAGUACGAUUACACUUUUUUUUGAUGUAUCAAUGUUUAAUAUAUUUACUUUUUCUGUUUCAGUUCUUAGUUUGUGAGUUGACACGCAUUGUGUCAAAACUUGCAAUGUCAAUUUUAUACAGAAACUCAGUUUAUGAAGAAGUCUUUGGCUGCUUACUCUAAACGCAG